rnacentral:lncRNA from 1 species
CAAUUUUUUUUAUUCAUGUGACAAUAUAAGAUGAAUUGAUCUAUAACUUAUGACAGGAAAUGAUACACUUUAAGGGCAAGUAAUCUAUGUCACUAGUUCAUCUUAUAAAGCUGGAACAUAAAAAGUAGCAUGUUCUGACUUCUGAUUUUAAGGUACGUUGGUGCCCAGCUCUAGAUGCUGAACUCACUCUGACGUCUGAAACAUAUGUACUGACAUUCAUGGUAAACUACUUUGGUAAAAUAUGCAUGUAACAACUAUAACAUGAAAAAAUACCUAAUGAGAUAGCACUUUCAUCUACAAUAUUUUACCUCGGUAGAUCCAGCCACCCAGGACUUAAGAACUUAAUAUAUCUCAGAAAGUUUUAUAUUUGGAAUAUGAAUUCAACCACGUUCAGCUUCAUAAGUCAUAACCACAUCCAUGGCUACAAAAUUAUUUUCCUACAAACAAUUGUAACAAACUCACCUUAACCAUAAUUUAAAAGAAUGAAUUGAUGGAGGGAUAGAAAAGAGUAAGGGAAUUGUCAAAUGCAAAAGGGUUAACAAGGUAUAUAUGGACUUACAGAAAUCAUAUAUCCCAUGAUUUGUUUGAUUUGUUUCAGCUACAGAAUGCAAAGGGAUAGAGGUUGUCAUCAUAGUAGAAGCCACCAAAGGAGGAAUCCAAAGGGAUAGCAUGAUCCCAAAUAUUUUGAAAAGGGAAAGAGAAAUUUAAGAAUGAAAUUUGGGAUCAAUGCGAUCCCUUUGGAUGUCUCCUCUAGUUGCAGUGGAAUAUAAACCAAACUUUGCCUUCUUAAUUCUUCAAAGGUUCAGAAGUAAAGUGUUCUCUCCUUCUGUGGCUGUAGUGUGUGAGGGAAAGUGGAUGGCUCUUAGUUUUGCUGCUUUGAAGGAGUGGUUUUCGAUGGAAAGGAGAACUAGUCCUUAUAUA